rnacentral:lncRNA from 1 species
AUAGUUUCAGAAAUGUUUACUAAUGAGAUGAAUACAUGGAAGGCGUUUAGCACAGUGCCUAAAACACAGUAAGUAACCAACAAAUGGUAGGUGGUAUUAAUACUAUUAUUAUUAAAUCCCAGAAUGACGGGAUUACAAGAAAAUGCAUACGUAACAAAAGCAGCCUUAAAAAGCUAAUUUUUUUCUCAGGGCCAGAGCAACAGGAAAGAGAUAGACCCAUUAUUCAAGACAGAUGAUGUAAUGUGAAUAGAAGAGUGAACAUUUUAAAGUGUCUUUUCUCCUAAUAUUCUUCUAUUUUCUUUAGAAGAGAGAAUAAUCUUCAACCUGGAAAGGAUAAUAAACAUGAUUAUGGGGAAAUCGGGAUCUAAGACAGAUGAUGCAGCACUCAAGGAGAGCCCUUCUGCUUUAUGGGAGCCCAACACUCUUAACUCCAACUAAAUAUAUAUAUAAACUAAACUCAAGGAGAGCCCUACUGCUUUAUGGGAGCCCAGCGCUCUUAAAGAGAACAGUGUUGAAGAACCCAUAUAGAUUUGG